rnacentral:snRNA from 1 species
GUGCUUAAAUCUGCAGCGCAUGAACUAAAAUUAGAACAAUACAGAGAUUAGCAUGGCCCUGCCCAAGGGUAACAUGCAAAUUCGUGAAAAGGGUUCCAUAUUUUU